UGUUGUUCCAACCGAUUUGACUGUAUUUUCUAUUUUUGGUUUACAUUUGUCGUAUUAUAAUUAGGCUUAUAAUCCUCUAUCCUAUAAUGAGAUGGAUAAUUCAAGCUCCAUAUGGUGUCAUUUGUGUUAGCCCAUUAUUUAUUUUUCAUCUUGCCAUAGUGUUGCUUUACUUUCUUUUCCUACCACAGUUACAAAGUUUUAGAUAGGGCAGCGGAAGCGAGAAAGUAUGAAUAUUGACUUUCACUGGAGGGAAAUCAGUACAGAGCUCUUAGGUAGCAUGUACUUGAGAAGGACACUGUUACAGUGAGUACACUCAGUGGAGGUGAUUCUUCAUCUUGCAUCUGACUGCUCAGUGGAAAGAGAGCAGGGCAAACUGACUUCCUGAGAACACUCCUGCAAUGAUUUGCUUUCUCCAGCCAGCCCGCAAAUCCAAUCUUUUCAUCACUUUCCAAUGUUAUGCCUCUCUAGGAUUAUGAAUCCAUUGUAACAGGACUAAUGCAUUCAUUACUUGAGAACUCUUAUGAUCUAAUUGGCUAAGGAAAUGCAUCAUGUCACAUACACACCAGAGGGUUGCUGUCCUAACCAAUUUGCUCAAUAUCUUCCAAUUCAGUCAGAUUGGCAAUAGUUAUUAACCAUUAUAAACAUAAAUUGUAAUUCCAUUUUCAUCAUUUAUAUGUUAGUUUAUGGUGCUGAAUUAUUCAUAUUAGUAUCUUCCAGUGACAACGGUAGUAACAACACUCAACCUCUAUGGAGUGCUUCGUGUUCCAAGUACAACUGAGGGUUCUUACACAGAGAUCUUCACCUACUUUUCCCAUCCAAUAAAACAUGGGAAUAUUCUCAGCGUCGUCCUUCAAGGAAAUUAAUGAUUUGUUGAGAAAAUUGUAGGUCCAGAUUUUAAGGAAUUUUGUAAUUGAUCCAGUAUCUUUUCAUUUGAGUACUUACAACACGAUUUCCUGUGAAAAGUUUGAGUCUACCAGUGACCAUGGAGAACGCAGUGGAAGGAGCCGGUGUAUUGAUGUGGCUUUGCACCCUGCUCUGAGCUUGUAAAGAUGACUUUAUCAACAGUGGGGAAACUGGUGAAAGUGGUAAAGAAAGGCUUGCUGUGCUGUGUGAUGACAGCAAGCAGAAGUGGUGGUGCUGUCCUGAAACACCUUUGUCACUGAGCACUUACACCUAGUUAAGUUAUUUAAUGUUCUCAUCCAUUCUGCAAGAACUAGGCAACAUGACCUAUACUUUCAGAGCUAUAAGACAGUUAGUCAUAGUAGGCAGACCUUACAGAAGUUAUCUUCCCAUAAUAGAGAAAAUUUGGUACUAAAAUUAUAGACUUUGCAUAUAUGACUUUUUCUUUUUCUGUUACUUCAUGCGAUUUUUUUCUUUGACAAUGUUUUGAAUAUAUAUUAUGAGUUUCAGUCAUUUCCAACUACAUUUUCAGCCAGUUCAGUCCCCUUACUCUCACUCUCUUCUCUAUUCAAGUUUUUUUCUUCUUAAGAUACUUUCUAUAUCUGUGACCUAUUGAGAUUAAUUAGGAUUGCUUUAAUGAACAUGGGUGGGGAGGUCUGGAGUCUGGGCAGUUAAUCAGAACAUAUACCAUUGAAGAAAAUGACACUCACCUUCACCCCGACACACAGAGACAAAACUAACUUUCAAUAGUAUUUCAGGAAAGAGUGAAGCCUCUUUAGCAUUUUCUUGAUCCAUGAUGAAAUAACCUAGACUUGUAUCUGUAGAUGCAGAGACAACAUUCAUGCAAUGGCAUGUCAAACCCAGAACACAGGGCAUCGCAGCACUUCUUCCCAUCCUCCAGCUCUUUACCCUCUUUCUGUUCCUCCUUCUGCACUUUUCUCUGAGCUUUGAAAUGUGUGAUACUCAUGUUCCACUAUGGCCUUGCAUCCCACAGUCAUUUAUUCUUGGGGGCUUUGACCAGUUAUGCAAGUCUGCAUUAACCUCUGCCCACUGCACUCAGAAGUUUCUCUUGUGAUGACUGUGACCAGAACUAAACUAGGAUCAUAAACGUAACUUC
rnacentral:lncRNA from 1 species